AACAGUCUGUUGAUCCAAUGUCGCCGGCGGCCGUACAGCCCACCACGGGCCAGGCGUCGGCAUAGAAGGAAAGGGGUAGCCAAACCCCGCACGACCGGUACUGUGAGCGCAAGGAUGCACCGAAGCGGCGUAAGCCGCCGGGACGAAAGUCCGCCAUUGUGGGUAAGCCCAUGAGAAGGUAGGCUGCAAACGAGGAGGGAUGUCUGCCCCCCGCGGCGCGAGCCAGGAGAAUUGCAUUGUGUAGGACAAAGUU
rnacentral:ncRNA from 1 species